AUCCAUCUGACGUGUCCCAAGUAGAACGAAACGCGCAUUCUGGAU
rfam:Schistosoma mattheei strain Denwood, Zambia genome assembly, scaffold: SMTD_scaffold0008028